AUUGGACAAUGGUCGGAAGACUGAUCCAGCCAUGCCGCGUGCGGAAGACUGCCCUAUGGGUUGUAAACUGCUUUUAUACGGGAAGAAUAAGGUCUACGUGUAGACUGAUGACGGUACCGUAUGAAUAAGCAUCGGCUAACUCCGUGCCAGCAGCCGCGGUAAUACGGAGGAUGCAAGCGUUAUCCGGAAUCAUUGGGUUUAAAGGGUCCGUAGGCGGUUAAUUAAGUCAGGGGUGAAAGUUUGCGGCUCAACCGUAAAAUUGCCUUUGAUACUGGUUAACUUGAAUUGUUGUGAAGUGGUUAGAAUGUGCAGUGUAGUGGUUAAAUGCUUAGAUAUUGCACAGAAUACCAAUUGCGAAGGCAGAUCACCAACAACAUAUUGACGGUGAGGGACGAAAGCGUGGGGAGCGAACAGGAUUAGAUACCCUGGUAGUCCACGCCGUAAACGAUGGAUACUAGCUGUUCGGUUGGAUUGACAACUGAGUGGCUAAGCGAAAGUGAUAAGUAUCCCACCUG
rnacentral:rRNA from 1 species